rnacentral:tRNA from 1 species
GAGGGUAGAGCUCAGUGGUAGAGUGUGUGCUUAGCAUGCACAAGGUCCUGGGUUCAAUCCCCAGUACCUCUA